rnacentral:rRNA from 1 species
CCUACGGGAGGCAGCAGUGGGGAAUUUUGGACAAUGGGCGAAAGCCUGAUCCAGCAAUGCCGCGUGAGUGAAGAAGGCCUUCGGGUUGUAAAGCUCUUUUGUCAGGGAAGAAACGGUGAGAGCUAAUAUCUUUUGCUAAUGACGGUACCUGAAGAAUAAGCACCGGCUAACUACGUGCCAGCAGCCGCGGUAAUACGUAGGGUGCAAGCGUUAAUCGGAAUUACUGGGCGUAAAGCGUGCGCAGGCGGUUUUGUAAGUCUGUCGUGAAAUCCCCGGGCUCAACCUGGGAAUUGCGAUGGAGACUGCAAGGCUAGAAUCUGGCAGAGGGGGGUAGAAUUCCACGUGUAGCAGUGAAAUGCGUAGAGAUGUGGAGGAACACCGAUGGCGAAGGCAGCCCCCUGGGUCAAGAUUGACGCUCAUGCACGAAAGCGUGGGGAGCAAACAGGAUUAGAUACCCUGGUAGUCCACGCCCUAAACGAUGUCUACUAGUUGUCGGGUUUUAAUUAACUUGGUAACGCAGCUAACGCGUGAAGUAGACCGCCUGGGGAUCGGUCGCAAGNUUAAACUUAAGGAAUUGACGGNUGNGAGNGCGAGACGACGACGAGGGAGAGG